AUUGAACGCUGGCGGCAUGCCUUACACAUGCAAGUCGAACAGCAGCAUGGGUGCUUGCACCUGAUGGCGAGUGGCGAACGGGUGAGUAAUGCAUCGGAACGUACCCGGAAGUGGGGGAUAACGUAGCGAAAGUUACGCUAAUACCGCAUAUUCUGUGAGCAGGAAAGCGGGGGAUCGCAAGACCUCGCGCUUCCGGAGCGGCCGAUGUCGGAUUAGCUAGUUGGCGGGGUAAAGGCCCACCAAGGCAACGAUCCGUAGCGGGUCUGAGAGGAUGAUCCGCCACACUUGGACUGAGACGCGGCCCAGACUCCUACGGGAGGCAGCAGUGGGGAAUUUUGGACAAUGUGCGCAAGCCUGAUCCAGCCAUGCCGCGUGAGUGAAGAAGGCCUUCGGGUUGUAAAGCUCUUUCGGCUGGGAAGAAAUCGCAUCUCCUAAUACGGGGUGUGGAUGACGGUACCAGCAUAAGAAGCACCGGCUAACUACGUGCCAGCAGCCGCGGUAA
rnacentral:rRNA from 1 species